rnacentral:rRNA from 1 species
UACAGAGGUCUCAACCGUUGUUCGGAUUCAUUGGGCGUAAAGGGUGCGUAGGCGGUCGUGCAAGUCGGAUGUGAAAUCUCAGGCUCAACCCUGAACUGCAUUCGAUACUGCGUGGCUAGAGUGCUGGAGAGGAGACUGGAAUUUACGGUGUAGCAGUGAAAUGCGUAGAUAAUCGUAAGGAAGACCAGUGGCGAAGGCGAGUCUCUGGACAGCAACU